UACGUAGGCAGCAAGCGUUGUUCGGAAUUACUGGGCGUAAAGAGUGUGUAGGCGGUGCUCUAAGUUUGUCGUGAAAUCUCCCGGCUUAACUGGGAGGGUGCGGCGAAAACUGGAAUGCUAGAGGAUGGGAGAGGUAAGCGGAAUUCCUGGUGUAGCGGUGAAAUGCGUAGAUAUCAGGAGGAACACCUGUGGUGUAGACAGCUUACUGGACCAUUUCUGACGCUGAGACACGAAAGCGUGGGUAGCAAACAGG
rnacentral:rRNA from 1 species